rnacentral:rRNA from 1 species
UACGGAGGAUGCGAGCGUUAUCCGGAUUUAUUGGGUUUAAAGGGUGCGUAGGCGGGCUUUUAAGUCAGCGGUAAAAAUUCGGGGCUCAACCCCGUCCGGCCGUUGAAACUGGGGGCCUUGAGUGGGCGAGAAGAAGGCGGAAUGCGUGGUGUAGCGGUGAAAUGCAUAGAUAUCACGCAGAACCCCGAUUGCGAAGGCAGCCUUCCGGCGCCCUACUGACGCGGAGGCACGAAAGUGCGGGGAUCGAACAGG